rnacentral:rRNA from 1 species
UACAGAGGGUGCGAGCGUUGUCCGGAAUUACUGGGCGUAAAGGGCGCGUAGGCGGUUCGGUAAGUAGGAGGUGAAAUUUCGGGGCUCAACCCUGAAACUGCCUUCUAAACUGCCGAACUGGAGCACGGUAGAGGCAGAUGGAAUUCCCGGUGUAGCGGUGGAAUGCGUAGAGAUCGGGAAGAACACCAGUGGCGAAGGCGGUCUGCUGGGCCGUUGCUGACGCUGAGGCGCGACAGCGUGGGGAGCAAACAGG